rnacentral:rRNA from 1 species
CAGUGUCUGGUGGGUAGUUUGACUGGGGCGGUCUCCUCCUAAAGAGUAACGGAGGAGCACGAAGGUUGGCUAAUCCUGGUCGGACAUCAGGAGGUUAGUGCAAUGGCAUAAGCCAGCUUGACUGCGAGCGUGACGGCGCGAGCAGGUGCGAAAGCAGGUCAUAGUGAUCCGGUGGUUCUGAAUGGAAGGGCCAUCGCUCAACGGAUAAAAGGUACUCCGGGGAUAACAGGCUGAUACCGCCCAAGAGUUCAUAUCGACGGCGGUGUUUGGCACCUCGAUGUCGGCUCAUCACAUCCUGGGGCUGAAGUAGGUCCCAAGGGUAUGGCUGUUCGCCAUUUAAAGUGGUACGCGAGCUGGGUUUAGAACGUCGUGAGACAGUUCGGUCC